AUAAAAAACCAAUGCUUUCGGGCUCCUUGGUGAUUCAUGAUAACUUAACGAAUCGCAUGGCCUUGCGCCGGCGAUGGUUCAUUCAAAUUUCUGCCCUAUCAACUUUCGAUGGUAGGAUAGUGGCCUACCAUGGUUUCAACGGGUAACGGGGAAUUAGGGUUCGAUUCCGGAGAGGGAGCCUGAGAAACGGCUACCACAUCCAAGGAAGGCAGCAGGCGCGCAAAUUACCCAAUCCCAAUUCGGGGAGGUAGUGACAAUAAAUACUGGUACAGGGCUCUUUUGGGUCUUGUAAUUGGAAUGAGUACAAUUUAAAUCCCUUAACGAGGAACAAUUGGAGGGCAAGUCUGGUGCCAGCAGCCGCGGUAAUUCCAGCUCCAAUAGCGUAUAUUAAAGUUGUUGCAGUUAAAAAGCUCGUAGUUGAACCUUGGGUCUGGCUGCCCGGUCCGCCUAACCGCGUGCACUGGUGCGGCCGGAUCUUUCCUUCUGGCUAACCUCAUGCCCUUUACUGGGUGUGCU
rnacentral:rRNA from 1 species